GCGCUAACUUCAGCAGCGCAUAUGCUAAACCUGGGACAAUACGGAGAAGACCAGCAAGGCCCCUGCGCAAGGAUGACACGCAAAUUCCUGAAGCGUUCCGUAUUUUU
rfam:Tupaia chinensis contig105776, whole genome shotgun sequence.